GCCCGGGUGGCGAAAUGGGUAGACGCAGCGGACUUAAAAUCCGCCGGUUAUUGCAACCGUGCCGGUUCGAGUCCGGCUCCGGGCACCA
rnacentral:tRNA from 1 species